UACGAAGGGAGCUAGCGUUGUUCGGAAUCACUGGGCGUAAAGCGCACGUAGGCGGAUUUGUCAGUCAGGGGUGAAAUCCCGGGGCUCAACCUCGGAACUGCCUUUGAUACAGCAAGUCUUGAGUUCGAGAGAGGUGGGUGGAAUUCCUAGUGUAGAGGUGAAAUUCGUAGAUAUUAGGAAGAACACCGGUGGCGAAGGCGGCCCACUGGCUCGAUACUGACGCUGAGGUGCGAAAGCGUGGGAGCAA
rnacentral:rRNA from 1 species